GCUGAACUCCUGAAUGGUGACGGACACUUGUUGACACUCUCGCAUCGGUGCCGCUCCUCCCUCCACGCGUCCUGCUUGUCGCGGCACCACCAACAAAUCCUCGCUGCCCCAUGCCCAGUGCCGUCGUGUGCACACAGGCUCCGCAUGCCAUGGAGCAUGGUUCUAGCCAAGGUUGUGGCCUACAAGAACAAGGCUUCGAUGUCCCUGCUUCCCCCGAUCUACGGUCUCCUGUCCUGCAACUUGAUUCCCCACAUCUUCGAUCACCAUCAGCCCUUCAUGCAGCUGCGGUCCUUCAGCGGCUAGGCUUCACACACUGGCGACUUAAUUUUGAUUAGGAGAAAACAUUCAGGUGUCGUAUCGGGCUUCGAAGUCCUUCAAUUUCUUUGUAUGCUCCUUAACUUUUUCGUCUGUCUUUCCCUAUAAUUCUUCGUUGUCUUUGCCGAUUCUAAAAGUGUGUUGUUCCUCGCAUAUUUUGAUUGGGUUGAGAUACCCAACCCUUUUAUCGGCAUCCGAAUAAAGAUUCAGUCUAUAACAGAUCUCAUAUUGAUCAUAUUGCAUUCUGCAUGAUGCAUGUGCAUGUCAGAUAUUUAAAAUUAAUACAACUCAUUAAUAAUAACACAUGCAUGUGUAAAAAUGAGUGACACUUACAAUACAAGCAACAUUAGAAGCUGGACGUCGAGUCUCUUAAGGUUCAUCAUCAGCCACAUGUCCUCGAACAUAACAAUUGCAUGUUAAUUGCCAAUAGCAAAAGCAUCUACUGGUAUACAAACAUUGAUCGUGUUGAUGCCAACAACAAAUGCUCUUAUAUACCAGUCGUGUAACCUUUUUUAUACUAGUUGGGACCUUUUUGAGUACAUCCCAAGUGAGUAGAGGUCUGCUAGGCACAUAAUAUUUAGGGACAUUCUUGUAAUCCUUCCCAGUUGGCUUCUUGAUCUUUAUGGUACGCAUCUCAUGCUUUUUUGCUAACAACUCGUGAUCAACCAAAUCAAUACUCCAUGUGGUGUGGCUCCGUGCAAUCCUUGACAAAUUUUUUGUUGUACCAGCGGUUUUCGGCUUCUUUGGAUCGAACGAGGAAAUCAUUGUUGGUAUAAAAUUGUUUUUGGUUUUUAAGCUCUUUUGGGGGUGGAGAAAGUGGAGCCCUUUAUAGAGAUGCUGGUGGCGGAGGUAGUGGGUCACAAAGAGGAUGAGUACGACAGAGAAGGUGGAGCCCUUAAUGGCGAUAUUAGUGGCGGAGAUGGGGGGCUAGAAAGAUGUAACACCCGGUCCACUCCAAGACCGGGGUACUUACUCCUGGCAACCCUCUAGGACCAUAGACCAUCCCCACAGACCAACACGAGUCUUUUAUGUGUACUUUGUCCUCACUCCUGUGCACCCGGGAAGACUUUUCGGUCGAUCACCCAUCCCAAAAUUGCUCUAGGCCAAGCACACUUAAUUGGAGGUUCUUUCGAGAUAGGCUUCCAAAAAAAGAUGCACCUUAUUGAUAUGAGUACUAUAUUAAUCCUAUUAAGUCUUGGGCCAGUAUAUCACAAAAGCGGAUGAGGAGGUGGCGUUGGUAGGUGAAAAGGAAUAGACUAGGUAGCGGGUAAAGAUUGAGGAGGUGAUGACAGUUUAGCAAUAGGACCUGCAUGUGAUGCCUCUUGAGUUAGGGGAGGUAAUGGGAUGAUGGUGGUGGUGACUCAACCAAUUGGACAUCCCAUUGAGGCAGAGAAUGAAAUUCUUGAUAGCUUGUUGAGAGCACCUAGAGGGGGUGAAUAGGUGAUCUUGCAAAAUAUCACUUAAACCCACAAACUUGGUCUAUAAUAUGAGUUAGAGUAAAUCAAAACCAAGAUUGCAAAAAGAGAAAGAGAGAUAAGUUCCUUUUCACUUGAUUGCUCUAUCAAGAUAUGGUUUAUACUUUGAGCAAUAUCACAAGUGAGAAGAUGGAACUAAGAAGAGAUAAAAAUUGCAAUAAUGUAAAUGACACAAGAGACAUGACAAAUUUUAUCCUGUGAUUUGGUCAAGCGUAAUAUGCUUGUCUACUCCAUGUUGUGGCGUCCCAAUGGACGAGGGUUGCACUCAACCCCUCUUAAGUGAUCCAAAGAUCAAACUUGAGUACCAUAGUUCUUCAUUAUAUCUUGAAAUCCGUUUGUGUAGAAUCUCCACAAGUUGGAUUCUCUCACGCCUUACACAAGAUGAUCACAAUCCAAAAUCAGAGCAAGGGAGGGAGUAGAACACACACACAAGUACACAACGCAACAACAACAUGCACAAAAGAAAAGACAAGAGCGCAACAACAAAACGAUAGAGUAACGACUAAAAAAUGUGCUCAAAUCUCUCUCAAGUCACUCUACGGUAUGGUCACGGAGUCUCGUAGUUGUAGUUGAAAGGGAAAUAUGCCCUUGGGCCAAUUCUAUAAUGUUUUGGUGAUUAAGUGUCCAACACAUAGUGAGUGAGUUGCUAUGUGCUAAACAAGCAAGAAGUGCAAAUCAUAUAACAAGGUAUGUUUCUAGACUUAGUAAUUGGUUUUUGUAUACUAAUGUAUUUGUCUGAGUGUUAGAAACAGAGCAGAGAAGAAAAGAAACAAAUAUGAAAAGACUUGGUUGUGUGCAGCCAAACAGCAACUCUGGUCAGGUGCACCGGACAUUGUCCGGUGGUGCACCGGAUAGUGUCCGGUGCGCCAGGCUGGUCCGCGGUGAACUCGCCGCUCUCGGAAUUCGACGGCGGCGUACGGCUAAAAUUCACCGGACUGUCCGUUGGUGCACUGAACUGUCCGGUGAGCCAACGGUCGCCAGCGCCAACGGUCGGGCGUGAAAUCUGCGGGCGACGCGUGGCAGCUCCAACGGUCGGCAGGGGGCACUGGACUGUCCGGUGCGCCAACGGGCCCGGAGCUGCAACGGUCGUCAGUGCCCGAUUUAGAAGGCAAUCGCACACCGAACAAGCUACAGUGGCUGUCCGGUGGCGCACCGGACUGUCCGGUGCGCCACUCGACAUAAGGCAAGGAUAGCCUUCCUUGUUGGCCUCCAAAGGCUCCUAGCUGCCUUGGGGCUAUAAAAGGGACCCCUAGGCGUAUGGAGGAGUCACCUAAGCAUUCUAAGACUCCAACACUCCGCCUCCGCGCAUUUGAUCGAUUGUGUUAGUGAUUUGAGCUUCGUUCGAGUUGUGAACUCUCUGUGCUACGUUUUGAGCUCAAGUCUUGGCUUGUGUGCGUGUGUACUGCAGAUUUGUGUGUUGUGUGUGUUGCUCUCCUAGCCUUACUCUUGUGCCUUCUUUGUGGUCUUUAUUCAUUUGAUGGAAAAGGAGUCUAUCUUCAAUGUAGCAUCCCAAAAAUUCAAAUCCUGAAAUUUUCUCAAACUCACCCUAAAUUCAAAAUGAAUUUCAAGUUUCAUUUCAAAAUGUUUGUUUGCGAGUUGAUAUCAACAAAUAAAAUAUAGUGGUCUAUAUUAUCUCCAAAAUCCUCCUCAAAAUAUCCUACAAAUAUUUUCUGAGUGAUCCCCCUCAAAUUCUUUCCAGAAACACUGCCCAGAUAUUUCCCACUGAUCCCCUCUGAUUCUUUCCAGAAAUACUGCCCAAAUAUUCCACAGAUAAUCCUCCAAGCAUUUUCCUCCUGAGAAAUACCUUCAGAAUCAUUUUUCAAGUCCCUACAAAUAUUUUCUUCAUAACUUUCCUCAUGCCCAUACGUAUACGUAUGCCUCCAGUGUCAUACGGUGAGCUCUACAAGCUAAUCUCACUUAUACAAGACAAAUACAUGCUAAUCUCCCACUAAACCUCUCAUCCUCCCACUAAUGCUCUCAUCCCUCCCCCUAAUCCCCCCACCAUGGCUAUAAAUAGAGGGGCAAGGGCCUCCUCUCAUCCCACCCCAAGCCAUUUCAUGGCAACUCUCUUCCCCCCCCCACACACACCCACUCCAUGUUCCACACAAGCACACACUAGCACAAGGAUCGUUCGAUCGUUCUUCGAUCGUUCGUCCCCCUGUUCUUAGUUUGUUCGUUCGUUCGUCCGAUCGUUCGAUCGUUCGUCCGAUCGUUCAUGGUUCGUUCGUUCGUUCGUCCGAUCGUUCGAUCGUUCGUCCGUUCGUUCGUCCAAAUAAUCUUUUUCCUGCCGUUAUGCUGCCAAAAUUCCGAUCGUUCGUUUGUUCGAUCAUUCGAUCGUUCAUCGUUCGUUCAUAGUCCCUAUUCAUCGUUCAUCGUUCGUUCAUAGUCCCUAUUCAUCGUUCUUCCAGAUAAUCUUUUUCCUGCCGUUAUGCUGCCGAAAUUCCGAUCGUUCGUUUGUUCGAUCAUUCGAUCGUUCAUCGUUCGUUCAUAGUCCCUAUUCAUCGUUCAUCGUUCGUUCAUAGUCCCUAUUCAUCGUUCUUCCAGAUAAUCUUUAUCCUGCCGUUAUGCUGCCGAAAUUCCGAUCGUUCGUUCGUCCGAUCAUUCGAUCGUUCGUCCGUUCGUUCGUCCAAAUAAUCUUUUCCUGCCGUUAUGCUGCCGAAAUUCCAAUCGUUCGUUCGUCCGAUCAUUCGAUCGUUCGUCCGUUCGUUCAUAGUUCCUAUUCAUCGUUCAUCGUUCGUUCAUACGAACUAUUCACUGUCACUAUUCACCAUUACUAUUCACUGUUACUAUUCACAUACACUAUUCAUCAUCGUUACUAUUUAUCAUUACUAUUCAUCAUCGUUACUAUUCAUCGAUGAUAUCUAUAAUUACUUUUCCAUCGCCACUAUUCAUCGUUACUAUUCAUCGAUUAGCCGAUCACCCCAAAUUUCAACUAGUACUCAUACAUCAUGCUGUCCAGUCCACCUAAGACCAGCCAGACCCAUAUUCCAGUCAUACGAACUCCGGUGACUGUGAUUUUCCUUCCAGUAGGGAACUUCCCAUCUGGUCACCCAUCCUAGGUUUCUCCGAGUUGAGCACGCUUAACUUUGAGAUUCCUUCGAACCAGGCUUCCAAACUCAGAUUCCAAUAAUUCUUGUUUCUAAAUUCUUAUCAAAUUAUUCCCUAUCCAACCAUGUCAUCCCUUAAGCAUGGUUCAUAUUCCAGAAAACUCCCAAGGUACUCUUGUCCCAUAUUCUGCCUAUAACUCUCCUGUUCAUACUAAGUCAGACGAUUCAUUCGUCACUAUUCUCAACAACAGUGAACUUCACUGUGCUACACCACAUACACUCAGCUAUAAAUACACCCAGCUACCCUCUCCCUCUCCACACACUCAACACCCUCAGCCAAGGCAAACACCCCACCCACUCAGUUACUCUGCUCUGCCGGCUACACGCAUAGUGUCGCUUCGCCUCCAGUCCACCCUCCUGGUAAGCACCUCCGCUCCACCACUAUUAGUAUCUCAACACCACAUGACACAGAUUCUACUCAAGACUCUACCCAUCUAUAUAUCGUUGUUCUGACCACUAUACUAAAUAUUUGUUGGUAUACUUGCUUGUUUGUAUGUUUGCUUAUUCAUGUUGCAUAGUUAUCGGAGUGUU